rnacentral:lncRNA from 1 species
CUAACAUACAACUAACAGUGGGACGGUUAUUCAAGAAAAUUACUACAAUAAAAUUGAGUCUAAUGUUAAACUGUUAAAUAAGUAAAGACUCUUAAUGUCUUGCAAAUUUUCGACUGUAGAUAAACUAUUAUUAAGAAAAAAAUAAGAUAAUAAAUAGUAAAUUCAAAUCGUAUGAAUCGUAUGAAUAAUAUUGGCGAACAAAAAAAGUAUCACAUUAUGUCGUCGGACAAUUGUAAGAUGCUAUAAGAUAGACUAAAAAUGUAUCGAAAAUAUAGCACAAAAGAAAUCAUGAAAUAACUCAGUGCAAUCCCAAUUUAAGAUGCAAACACAUCAAAAGAAAAACAAAAUCACACCAUAUCUCCACAUGACACAAAACAAAAAACCAACUGCAAUCAGCAAAUAAGACGCAAAGAGUCACAAGAAAUUAAAAAAAAUCCAUUCGCGGGCAACUACCGACUUAUUAUACUGUAUGAUCGAACACAAACAUAGCCAAAAUAUGACACUCAAGAAAUAAGACGCAAACUACAUUACAAGAAUUGUAAGAUCAAUAAAUGAUGUAUAAAAAAUAAUUCCGAACGACAAUUGGUUAACACAAACAAAAGGAAUACAACGAUAUAAAUCUAUGCUACCCCAA